rnacentral:rRNA from 1 species
UACGUAGGGGGCAAGCGUUGUCCGGAUUUAUUGGGCGUAAAGAGCGUGUAGGCGCCAGAUAGGUCCGUUGUGAAAACUCGAGGCUCAACCUCGAGACGCCGAUGGAACAUCUGCUAGAGUCCGGAAGAGGAGAGUGGAAUUCCCGGUGUAGCGGUGAAAUGCGCAGAUAUCAGGAGGAACACCAAUUGCGAAGGCAGCUCGCUGGGACGCUACUGACGCUGGAGAACGCGAAAAGCGUGGGGAGCAAACAGG